UGUAUGUAUUUGUACAGUGAGGAACUGACAUGUGUGUGGACCUCUUUUUUGACCCCAUAGGUCAGGAGGUUAAAGUGUCCGUUACUGAUGGUCGUUGGAGAAGCUGACCAGAACUGUGCCACCGCAGAAUCUGUCCAGGAUUGAUCAUGUUGUGGGGAGGGGAGUCCAAAUGGAGGAGGAUCCUGGAUCCUGGAGUUCCUUAAGAAGAACCUGUACCAAAGACAGGACCCCUCUGUCCCCUCAGAGCUGUGAGAUCCUCCUGGACUAUCUCCAUUAUAGUCGUCGCUUCUCCAGCUUCAUUAUCUGUCAGGGCCCUAUUCUUGAAAUUAAAGAGAGAAGAUAUUG